AUUCAACGACUUAUGCAAGAAACGUUGUCAUCGGAAAACAUACACCAUUCAAGAAUUGCUACGGAACUGGAGGAACUUGCGCAAGUUACAUCGACUGCUGCCAAAAUUACUCAUGUGUAAACUUUGCGUGUCAAUACGACUACACAACGGCUCCACCAGUCUUCACGAAUCCAGUGAAUAUACC
rnacentral:lncRNA from 1 species